CCCUACUAUUUAGUAUGGGAAAAAGAGUAGGCGAGCAAAAAAGUAUGAAUGAAUCCAAAAGAGUAGGCGAGAAUUACCUGGGUGACGUAGUAAUUGUCGCGAGAUUCGGACUUAAGUGCGUUCCAAUAUGCCUACUUUCCUACUAUAUAGUAGGCGAAAACAGUACGUGAAGGAAGCAGUACGUUCCAAACAUCAGUUUUCAUAAAAAGAGUAGGCGAGAAGUUCCCGGAUGGCUUACUGCUUCCGCCCAGAUUUUUGAGUGCUUUUCCACGGCUACUCAUGAUACUCAUCUAUCCCAGGAGGCCACGCGAGAGGAUACGUCAAUGCACAUAGCUUGCAAACUGCCAAUAAAAAUCACAGAAGAAGAAGAAGAAGAAGAAGAAGAAGAAGAGAGGAUACGUCAAUAUCAACAUCGCGGAGAUAAGCGACGCGGGGGUUUUCAAAUGGACAGGAGAACACGCGUGUGUUUAUCCAGUGGAGAGAGGCUCAUGAUGCUGAAUGCUGUCAUCAAAGAAUGGGAACCGCUGUGUUGAGUCGGCAGUAGGGUUUGGGGUUCAGUGCCUGUAAAUACAUGCUUGUAGUUUGAAUAAAGCUGUUUCAUGUGUUGACUUGUA